rnacentral:rRNA from 1 species
CCUUGAUGACGACUGGCGCACGGGUGAGUAACGCGUAUCCAACCUUCCCAUAACUACGGGAUAACCCGUUGAAAGACGGCCUAAUACCGUAUGAUAUCGUUUGCUGACAUCAAAUAACGAUUAAAGGUUUAGCGGUUAUGGAUGGGGAUGCGUCUGAUUAGCUUGUUGGCGGGGUAACGGCCCACCAAGGCAACGAUCAGUAGGGGUUCUGAGAGGAAGGUCCCCCACAUUGGAACUGAGACACGGUCCAAACUCCUACGGGAGGCAGCAGUC